GAUUCCUUUGUUAUUUAAACGGCCCCACUCUUCAAUAUCAACAUAUUCACUUUAGUCUUUCUUAUUUUUCCCAAGUAUUCAUCAUUUUUCUCCUUCAGUCACGCCACCACCUCUAGACGACCAUGUUCCACCAGGCCGCCACCUACAUGCGCUAGCCAGGGACAACCAUCAGCCACUCAAGGCCCCUGCUCGCCAAGCGGCUAUGCCUCACUCGUUGCUAGCUGUCCGGAGAUGGAUCAUCAAAGUCCCACACAAACUUCAACUCAGUUUCUGGCUAGCUUCGAUAUAUGUUUGACAAGUCGUUUACACUGUUGAACUCAGCUCGUUAAGGAGAACGAAGACCAACAACCCAAACUUGUCAUCUUGCCAUCGUUCUUGGUGCUCUGUUUGGCCAACCCACAACUUUUUGGAGACUUUCUGGCGAUUAAUUCCAAUCACUGUUGCACUCGCAUGAUCUACUCGUUGAGGUGGUAGUUUUGAUAUAUAACACACCCACUUUCGUUGGUGUUGCUUGUGCUGGUGCACCACACCCUACCACCACCAACUGGCGCCAUGCAUUGUUUGGACUAGUCACUCUAGGAUGAUCGAUCAAGCUCAGGACGACCUCAUCAGGGAAUUAUUAAAUGUUCAUAUUUAGAGGUAGGUGUUUUGAUUACUCUUUUGAACCUAUAUUUUGAUGAUUGGAUUGCUGAUUUUAUAUUCUAAAUUUUAAUAUUUAAAAUAUUUGUGAAUUAUAAACUACACCUGUGGUUUGUACUGGACUAUUAUGACGGGUACAACAGUGUUGUGCCUAGCACUUUUGUGUAUUUUGGAUUUUAUAAAGUGGGGGCUUUUAGGUUGUCUAUGACUUUGAUUGCUCGAAUAAGAAUCUUAAUUCAACAUGCUUGUACAUAUUACUUAUUCACACCAAGUUUUUGUGGAUCAUCUUGAAUAAACAUCGUUUUUGUGACAUAAACAAGGAGAAAGAGUUUUCUUUUCUCUUGGAUUGACGUUGCUGGUCAAUAUAACGAGAAGCAACGAGAAUCCGACCAACUUAACUAAAACGUACGAGAUGAGAAAAGCCCUUUUGUAGUAGUGGAAAACAAAGAAACCUAAUAUUACUAGUAUUUGUUUUCUAUAUAUAGUUAAAAUUCAUAUGAGACUUAAUUACCAUGUAUUAUUAGUGACACAUGUAAUUAUUGUGUUGAAGUAAUACGGCAGCUAUUUGGUGGCUAACAUCGCAUGAUUCACUAAAUCACGAUUGGUAUAUUCAAAUUUAAAAUAAAUUACUUGAGACUGAAUAUUAAACUGCACUAAUUGUGGUUUGCUGCAUCAUAAUGUUAGGGACUAUAUAUAUAUGAUAAUAUCAAUAUAUUCAUAAUAUAAACAUAAAUAUAUAGUAAAGGGCAUACAUUAAGUUUGUUAUGCUAACAUAGAUAUAAACAUAGGAGCACAUGAAUUCAAGACAGUCCAAGCACAUACAAUAAAAAGAAAUUAAAAACAAAACAUAAGAGCACGCAUGCAUAUAUAUAUAUAUAAAUCAACAUAUCAUUCAUUAAUUAGUAGCUACUAUAAUUAAGUUCAUUAUUAUUUCAUUAAUUUCUAUCAACGACAGCUUCCACUAACCAUUCCUGUUGAAAAACAUGUACAUCCAGUAGGGCAAGAAGAAGAAAAAAUGCAUAACAUCUGAAAGAGAAGGUUCAUCACCAUGACGAGGAUUAUCAUUCAUCAUGGCUCGCCCUGCGGAACUGGUGGUGAUGAUAAAUAGAAAGAACACAACAACUAUGGUGACCAUCACAACAACUACUAACUUCUUAUUAUGCCUCUCCAUUUUUGGAAUAUUCAAUUCAUAAUUAUUAUAAUUAUUAUAAAUAUGAUAUCAUAUAUGUAUAUAUAUAUAUAGAUAGCACUAGAAAGCAUUAUGCCAUCUUAUCCUUUCCUCCCAUUAAAGUGGUCCAACCUUAAUUGCAUAUCUAUCUAGAUAGGGUUUUCAAUCGAUUUUUCAUAGCACUGAUAUAUAGGGCACUAUUUGCAUGGUAUCCCACCAAUUACAUUGAUUAAAUUUAAUAAUUUUUAAUAUUAGAAUUAUAAAUUAUAUAUAUAUUUAUACAUUGCCAACUCCAGUAAUGUUAGUAUAAACUUAUACUACCUCAUAACAUCAAUCAACUUUUUAUUGUCA